UUGAACGCUGGCGGCAUGCCUUACACAUGCAAGUCGAACGGCAGCACGGGUGCUUGCACCUGGUGGCGAGUGGCGAACGGGUGAGUAAUACAUCGGAACAUGUCCUGUAGUGGGGGAUAGCCCGGCGAAAGCCGGAUUAAUACCGCAUACGAUCUACGGAUGAAAGCGGGGGACCUUCGGGCCUCGCGCUAUAGGGUUGGCCGAUGGCUGAUUAGCUAGUUGGUGGGGUAAAGGCCUACCAAGGCGACGAUCAGUAGCUGGUCUGAGAGGACGACCAGCCACACUGGGACUGAGACACGGCCCAGACUCCUACGGGAGGCAGCAGUGGGGAAUUUUGGACAAUGGGCGAAAGCCUGAUCCAGCAAUGCCGCGUGUGUGAAGAAGGCCUUCGGGUUGUAAAGCACUUUUGUCCGGAAAGAAAUCCUUGGCUCUAAUACAGUCGGGGGAUGACGGUACCGGAAGAAUAAGCACCGGCUAACUACGUGCCAGCAGCCGCGGUAAUACGUAGGGUGCGAGCGUUAAUCGGAAUUACUGGGCGUAAAGCGUGCGCAGGCGGUUUGCUAAGACCGAUGUGAAAUCCCCGGGCUCAACCUGGGAACUGCAUUGGUGACUGGCAGGCUAGAGUAUGGCAGAGGGGGGUAGAAUUCCACGUGUAGCAGUGAAAUGCGUAGAGAUGUGGAGGAAUACCGAUGGCGAAGGCAGCCCCCUGGGCCAAUACUGACGCUCAUGCACGAAAGCGUGGGGGAGCAAACAGGAUUAGAUACCCCUGGUAGUCCACGCCCUAAACGAUGUCAACUAGUUGUUGGGGAUUCAUUUCCUUAGUAACGUAGCUAACGCGUGAAGUUGACCGCCUGGGGAGUACGGUCGCAAGAUUAAAACUCAAAGGAAUUGACGGGGACCCGCACAAGCGGUGGAUGAUGUGGAUUAAUUCGAUGCAACGCGAAAAACCUUACCUACCCUUGACAUGGUCGGAAUCCCGCUGAGAGGUGGGAGUGCUCGAAAGAGAACCGGCGCACAGGUGCUGCAUGGCUGUCGUCAGCUCGUGUCGUGAGAUGUUGGGUUAAGUCCCGCAACGAGCGCAACCCUUGUCCUUAGUUGCUACGCAAGAGCACUCUAAGGAGACUGCCGGUGACAAACCGGAGGAAGGUGGGGAUGACGUCAAGUCCUCAUGGCCCUUAUGGGUAGGGCUUCACACGUCAUACAAUGGUCGGAACAGAGGGUUGCCAACCCGCGAGGGGGAGCUAAUCCCAGAAAACCGAUCGUAGUCCGGAUUGCACUCUGCAACUCGAGUGCAUGAAGCUGGAAUCGCUAGUAAUCGCGGAUCAGCAUGCCGCGGUGAAUACGUUCCCGGGUCUUGUACACACCGCC
rnacentral:rRNA from 1 species